rnacentral:rRNA from 1 species
UACAGAGGUCUCAAGCGUUGUUCGGAUUCAUUGGGCGUAAAGGGUGCGUAGGCGGCUCGGUAAGUCGGGUGUGAAAUCUUGGAGCUUAACUCCGAAACUGCAUUCGAUACUGCCGUGCUUGAGGACUGGAGAGGAGACUGGAAUUUACGGUGUAGCGGUGAAAUGCGUAGAUAUCGUAAGGAAGACCAGUGGCGAAGGCGGGUCUCUGGACAGUUCCUGACGCUGAGGCGCGAAGGUCAGGGGAGCAAACGGG